rnacentral:pre_miRNA from 1 species
ACCAUCCCUAUGUUGAAAGCGGUAACAAUCUCGAUGAAAGAGAGGAUGUAGACGCUCAACUGAUAUAGGAAGCAAUUGUUUUGAUUAUUGCAUCCUUCACCUUGUUGAGCAUCUAUACCCACUCUUUCAUUCGAAAUUGUUACCGCCCUCAGCCUUUGGAUAUUUC